GUUUCGUGUUGCGCUUAUGGCUGUACUCAGCGUUUUGUCGGGGGAAAUGGCAUUACAUUUCACGUGUUCCCUAAGGAUGAAAACCGAAGGCAGCUUUGGAUACAGGCUCUGAAGCGGAAAAACUUUAAGCCGUCUGCACAUACGCGCCUUUGCUCGAAACACUUUGAGGAGAAAUGUUUUGAUAGGGCUAAAACUGGAGGGAAUUGGCUAAGUAGUGAUGCUAUCCCGACACUUUUCGAUUUUCCGGAACAUA